AUCCUAGUGCAAGGGCAGUACGCAUUCAGUGAGGAUUCGUCCGAGAGUGUGUUUUUGCUGGUUGAAAACUAUACCUUGACCACUCCUAUUGGGCCCUUGGGCCCGGUAGGGAAUUUUUGGCAAAAAACACUCCGAAUCCUUUUCAAAUUUU
rnacentral:snRNA from 1 species